UCCCGUGUGGCUCAGUUGGUAGAGCAUGGUGUUUGCAACACCAGGGUUGUGGGUUUGAUUCCCACGUGGGAC
rnacentral:tRNA from 1 species